rnacentral:rRNA from 1 species
GCCAAAGAGGGGGAUCUUCGGNCCUCUCGCGNCAAGAUAUGCCUAGGUGGGAUUAGCUAGUUGGUGAGGUAAUGGCUCACCAAGGCGACGAUCCCUAGCUGGUCUGAGAGGAUGAUCAGCCACACUGGAACUGAGACACGGUCCAGACUCCUACGGGAGGCAGCAGUGGGGAAUAUUGCACAAUGGGCGAAAGCCUGAUGCAGCCAUGCCGCGUGUAUGAAGAAGGCCUUCGGGUUGUAAAGUACUNUCAGUUGUGAGGAAGGGGGUNACGUUAAUAGCGNUANCUCUNGACGUUAGCANCAGAAGAAGCACCGGCUAACUCCGUGCCAGCAGCCGCGNUAAUACGGAGGGUGCGAGCGUNAAUCGGAAUUACUGGGCGUAAAGCGCAUGCAGGUGGUUCAUUAAGUCAGAUGUGAAAGCCCGGGGCUCAACCUCGGAACNGCAUUUGAAACNGGUGAACUAGAGUGCUGUAGAGGGGGGUAGAAUUUCAGGUGUAGCGGUGAAAUGCGUAGAGAUCUGAAGGAAUACCAGUGGCGAAGGCGGCCCCCUGGACAGACACUGACACUCAGAUGCGAAAGCGUGGGGAGCAAACANGAUUAGAUA